rnacentral:rRNA from 1 species
UUUUUUGAGAGUUUGAUCCUAGCUCAGGAUGAACGCUCGCUGUGUGCCUAAUACAUGCAUGUUGAACGGGAUGUAGCAAUACAUUCAGUAGCGAAUGGGUGAGUAACACGUACCUAACCUACCUUUAAGACUGGGAUAACUAUUGGAAACAAUAGCUAAUACCGGAUAUAGUUAUUUAUCGCAUGAUGAGUAAUAGAAAGGAGCUUCACAGCUUCACUUAAAAAUGGGGGUGCGGAACAUUAGUUAGUUGGUAGGGUAAUGGCCUACCAAGACGAUGAUGUUUAGCCGGGCCGAGAGGCUGUACGGCCACACUGGGACUGAGAUACGGCCCAGACUCCUACGGGAGGCAGCAGUAAGGAAUUUUCCACAAUGAGCGAAAGCUUGAUGGAGCGACACAGCGUGCAGGAUGAAGUUCUUCGGAAUGUAAACUGCUGUUAUAAGGGAAGAAAAAAUAGAAUAGGAAAUGAUUUUAUCUUGACGGUACCUUAUUAGAAAGCGACGGCAAACUAUGUGCCAGCAGCCGCGGUAAUACAUAGGUCGCAAGCGUUAUCCGGAAUUAUUGGGCGUAAAGCGUCCGUAGGUUUUUUGCUAAGUCUGGAGUUAAAUGCUGAAGCUCAACUUCAGUCCGCUUUGGAUACUGGCAAAAUAGAAUUAUAAAGAGGUUAGCGGAAUUCCUAGUGAAGCGGUGGAAUGCGUAGAUAUUAGGAAGAACACCAAUAGGCGAAGGCAGCUAACUGGUUAUAUAUUGACACUAAGGGACGAAAGCGUGGGGAGCAAACAGGAUUAGAUACCCUGGUAGUCCACGCCGUAAACGAUGAUCAUUAGUUGGUGGAAUAAUUUCACUAACGCAGCUAACGCGUUAAAUGAUCCGCCUGAAUAGUAUGCUCGCAAGAGUGAAACUUAAAGGAAUUGACGGGAACCCGCACAAGCGGUGGAGCAUGUGGUUUAAUUUGAAGAUACGCGUAGAACCUUACCCACUCUUGACAUCUUCUGCA